AACCCUGUGGGUGUCAGUUUCAGUAGCGGCCUGCCUCAGAGCAGAGCUGCAAGCUAUAGGAGGAGAGGAGGCCAGCACUCCAAUGCCAAAGAAUGAUUGUUCAGAAGGGCCAGUAAAGUGGCAGAUCUGGAAUUUUCACUAUGCAGCAACAGAUAGGAAAAGCAGAGAUGGAUAUCAGCAGUGACUGCAGGCCAUGCCACGGAAAUGGAGACGUCAGAAAGUAGGGAAAUCAAAGAAGACGGAAAGCCAUCACAAAACUCACUUUGAGAAUAGUGGAGAAUGUGGUACAAAAUUGGAAGUCCUGGGUGGAUUCCUCAUUUGUUGCUGCUGUUGUUCCAGUCUGUACUGAAUUUUACUACUUCCCUCAACUCUACAAUGAAGAAAAUUAAAUAUCAAAACAGGACCCUCCUGAACUGGAGAGCCAGCAGUGUGGUUAUGAAGAAAACAAAAAACAAACAAACAAACAAACAAACAAAAAAACGGAAAAAAAAAACCCAGCUAACUAACA